rnacentral:lncRNA from 1 species
CAGUGGCCUCAGGGAUAUGGAAUUAAGAUCCACCUGGUGUGAUGAAUAAACCCAGACUCUCAGCAACGCAGGAAAAAAAAAACAAAAACUGGCUGGCGAUCUGGAGUAAAGGAUCCUCACAUCCACGUGAACCAGGAAACUCUGUGCCCAAAUCGACGAAAAAAAAACACUGGGAGAGCCGAACUAAAAGUCUUUUAGCACGGGUACCAGCCCUAGAAUUUCCAGUACACCAGCAGCAGCCUGGAAACCACAUCCUCAUCAAAAGACAGAAAGAAAAAAACUCGAGCCAGCCUGAGAAGGACCCUAUUUUAUGCUGUUAACCACUGAGACUGCCAUCCUCACAGCUGAGAAAGGAUGGACCCACCAUACUCAAGUCAAGAAAACAUCUUCCUCGUCAGAAUCAUGGGUUACUGUACUAGGAUUAAGCCUUACUAAGUUAAAGUUAAAGAAAGCUUAAUUUUCAUAUACCUUCUAUAUUGCUUCUUUUCCUUUCCUUAUUCUGUUACUAGCUCCUUUGUUAUUAAUGUAACUAAGUCUGAGUCACCUCAGACCAUUGCCUUUUAUGCUUGCUCUGUCAUACCUUGUGGAAAUGUAAAAGAUCAAUGACAGCUAGCCUUUUCACACAAUUAUUUAUGCCUCGGCCCUCUAAUUGACACAGUUACCCCUAGCACUCAUCGUUGUGAUCACCUGCAGCCAAGACGCUGAUUUUCUGCUCCUAUAGCCUGGCAACCUUGUGGUACAUGGGACUACGUCCUUUAAACUACCCAGGAGCAAAGUUGGACUUCCAUGAAAAAGGUUUGUGCAGAUCUAAAACCUCUCAUCUAUUUCACUAAAAGGACUUCCCCUUCUAACUGUCACCCUUACCAAUGUAACCCUGUCCUCUCUAUCACCACCUCCACCUGUCUUUAACUAACUCUAGACCUGUCCUUAAUUGCUUUUAUGGUAUUGGAAUAGGAAUUAAAAGAAAUUAAAGAAUGUGUAAGGAGAAACUCAGUUGUAUGUAAGAAAACCCAAUUCCCCCUGAGAAAGAGAAAGAGUUGGAGUCCUUUAAAAAUUAACUGCCUGUUUUUCUGUGGCUAGUGAGCCUUAUCUCUCCUCCUUUCCCAGACAUUGUGAAGACCCUGUUUCUCUAGCUGUGCAGCUGCAAGGUCACUAGACAGAUAAACUCAAGUUGUAAAACAUGUUUUUCCUUGAAAAGUAAGAAAUGCUGUAAUGCAUUUCUCAAUUAAUUAAAUAACUGUCUUUGUUUCUCGCUUCUGUAAUAUGCUUCCCCCUGCACAGAUCUCCACCCACCCUACAAAAUGCUUAAAAGGUAACUUAACUCUUUGUUCUGGGCUCAG